rnacentral:rRNA from 1 species
UACGUAGGGCGCAAGCGUUGUCCGGAAUUAUUGGGCGUAAAGAGCUCGUAGGCGGUCUGUUACGUCCGCUGUGAAAACCCAGGGCUUAACCCUGGGCUUGCAGUGGAUACGGGUAGACUAGAGGCAGGUAGGGGAGAAUGGAAUUCCCGGUGUAGCGGUGAAAUGCGCAGAUAUCGGGAGGAACACCGGUGGCGAAGGCGGCACUCUGGGCCGAUACUGACGCUGAGGAGCGAAAGCGUGGGGAGCGAACAGG